GAUGAAGAACGUAGCGAAAUGCGAUAAGUAAUGUGAAUUGCAGAAUUCAGUGAAUCAUCGAAUCUUUGAACGCACAUUGCGCCCCUUGGUAUUCCGAGGGGCAUGCCUGUUCGAGCGUCAUUAUAACCCUCAAGCUCAGCUUGGUGUUGGGGCCUGCUGCACUGGCAGCCCUUAAAAUCAGUGGCGGCGCCAUCUGGCUCUAAGCGUAGUAAUUCUUCUCGCUAUGGAGUCCUGGUGGAUGCUUGCCAUCAACCCCCAAUUUUUCUAUGGUUGACCUCGGAUCAGGUAGGGAUACCCGCUGAACUUAAGCAUAUCAAUAAGCGGAGAA
rnacentral:misc_RNA from 1 species